rnacentral:siRNA from 1 species
AAACCGCAACGGACCAUCUGCAG